GGCAAAGUGGCUCAGUGGUAGAGCACUUGCCUUUCAUGCAUGAGGCCUUGAUUUGAUUCUUCAGUACCA
rnacentral:tRNA from 1 species